UAUACUUGAAGGAUGUCCUUGAAAUUUUCUUGGAAAAGCGUAGUAGCAUUGGCUCCUUUUAAGGCAGCAGAUUUCCACUGUGAUUUCUAAUAAAGCAAGGUUGUUUUAGGUGGAUUGAUGGCCAUAUAGCCAUUAAUAGUAACCCAGCCUGUAGCCCUAACCUAAACCAUUCAUCCAAUUAGUUGGCUUGAAUUAGCAAAUUUGAGGUCACACUGACCAUUUAUGUAGCCACAGAAAAUAAUACUGAGAGAUCCAAACCACCUUGUAUGAUGAGGAAACUGUGUGGUCUACCCCCACAACCCUGUAGGUAAAGCGCUCUGGACAAAACUCUACAGUUAAGUGUGGAAAUCUGAAAAAUAAAACCAAUUGCACUUACAUUGAACCAAUGUGAAAAAAAGGAAUGCUGGGGUAAAAAUAUAGUAUAUACCAUAUGUUUGAAUGUAACUUUCGCUCUGAAAAAGAAUUUUUUUUUUUAUAUGGAGACAAAAAUCACAUUUACCUUCAACAUUAUUUUUAUGUUUUAAAAUAUUAUUUUAAAAAUAAUUAAAUAUUGUUUUAAAAACCUCUAUUGUUUAGAUCAUCAUUCCAAAGUAGCCUAGCUAAGAUGACCAUAGGCAUCUUGGCACAGAAAGGUCCUCAACAAGGGAGAUAUUGGACCACCAUCUGAACACUUUCCCACUAUCUGGCUCUUUGAACACACAUAAAUCAAAUGGGAUACUUUCACUGAGAAUCCAUUAUUCAUGGUAUCUGGAUGUGGGCAAUGAGUCCAGAGGAUGUGUUAUUGCGGUGUCCUGUUCAAUUGCUAAAGCCAGAAUAGAAAAGAAAGGGCUGUGCAUAAUGUGUCUGUGGCCUGUCAGAUAAAAAAUAGAAAGAAAGAAAUGCAAAGCAGGGUUUAUGCUGAUAAAAGGCUCUGAAAAGCUGCAGGGGGAAAAACAUUCCAGGAAGUCUUACACAGAAACUUUUUAAAAGAACCACCCGUGCUGAGAUGCUCAAGAUGAAUGACUGAAUGAAUAAUUCCUUGGGACGGAAAUGAGCUUCUCAUCUGCAGUUAUUUACACUAUAAAUCCAAUGUUGGAGCAAGCUAACGCACAUACUAAGGUGACACAGGAAAAUGCCUGGAAACAUGCAUAAUUAUUUAUAAUUCAGAAUAAAAGCUGAUUGAAAAACAGAGACGUACGCAUAUAAAGAAAUGCUAAAAUAUACCGUAAACAACAAGACUUCCACCCUAAACCUAAAAGCACAGAAUAAUGAUCCAGGCACCAUGGGUGUGUCUGCUGUUGAUUUUAGCAGCACUGUCAAAGGAUUGGCACAGGAGCGCUGCGUUGGAGUAAUAAUUAAUUAGGCUAAAGAGAUUUCUUUGUUGAGUGUAGGAACUCAAAAAGCUUCGGAAAUCCAGCCUCCCCUAUAUAAUUCAUUUACUCUUCCCACACUUUCCUUUUGACUGUUAGUACAAGCUUGGAACUUUUCUCCCCAUGGGUUUCUCUUGAUUCCAGUAACUCUCUAUUGCUGGGCAGAUGGAGAGAGCGAUAAGCCAACUAGGCAUAUGGUCUUUUGACACACCACAAGUGCAGACAGAACACAGUGAUGAUGGAUGCUGUUGACUUGCCACUGACAGAGGACCUGUAUGGGCAGAGCAUUAAUUUCACAAGAAAUGCCUUAAGUUUGCUGUAUUUAAGCCCAUGACCUGAAGGACAGGGGUAAUAGUUGACCUAAUGACUAUAUGAAUAAACUAGUAACUUGAUAUCAGAAGAAAAUACAAUCAUAUUUUUUUGUAUCUUCUGAGAACUGUGAAAUAUAUCAAAUGUU